CGCGUGUCAAGCCAUACUGACACACUCAGGGAAGCAGUACGAGGUUUUAAAUGGCAUCACUGUGAGCAUUAGUACCACUCUGAUUGUGGACUGCAAUGUAACAGACACCAAGGAUAAUACAAAUCUACGAUGCUGGAGAGUCAAUAACACUUUGGUGGAUGAUUACUAUGAUGAAUCCAAACGAAUCAGAGAAGGGGUGGAAACCCAUGUCUCUUUUCGGGAACAUAAUUUGUACACAGUAAACAUCACCUUCUUGGAAGUGAAAAUGGA
rnacentral:lncRNA from 1 species